GGAAGACGCCUGUAAUCUUAGCACUCAGGAGGCUGAGGCAGGAGGAUUGCCAUGAGUUCAAGACCAGCCUGAACUACAAAGCUAGACCCUGCCUCAACCAACCCUUCAAGUAGUAAUUAACAUCCAGACAUUUUUUUUCCUGUCUAUUGAUGGCUGGGUUUUUUUGUAGACGUGUUUUCAUGUCUUUUGGAUUAAUACCUGGGAUUGGACUGCUAGAUCAUAUGAGUGCAACACACUGACCAGAGGGAUGGGGAUCGCUUCACACAUUGAUUGUCCAGCAGACACCAACUGGGUAUUUCAUAACUCAGUUCAAUUCUGUGAAAAUAAAAGGAAAACUAAAAUGAACACAACUUUUAAAGAGUUUGGGGCCACGAAAUACGGGACCUCCCUCUGUUCGAUAGUAGCUUGGAACGUGAGUACUGCUCCCUCUGCCUCUGGGCCACGGGCUUGGAGAGUGACAGGACAACCAACCACAUCGUGUACCGAGAUGCCGGGAGCACUAUGCUGCAGAUCACACGGCCAGGCAUAACUCGCUCCCCCUGCAGAUGAGGCAGGGCCCUGCGUGGAAUGAGGAACGCGCAUCUUAUUCGUGUCCUCCCGGACGAGGCAGGGCUCCGCAGGAGAACAGGCGACAGAGGCCGUGGUGGAGCGGGGCCUGCCAAGAAGAGGACUGCCUUCCUCUCCGCCCACUCGCCGGAAAACCGUCACGCAUGGCGUCCUGCAGACCCUAGCUGCUCUCCUGGCUCUGGCUACAGGCCAGGCCCUUUUGCCUCCCCCUGCACUUCCCUUAUCUCUACCACUAUAAAUAAAUG
rnacentral:lncRNA from 1 species